rnacentral:rRNA from 1 species
UACAGAGGUCUCAAGCGUUGUUCGGAUUCAUUGGGCGUAAAGGGUGCGUAGGUGGCGCCGUAAGUCAGGUGUGAAAUUUCGGAGCUUAACUCCGAAACUGCAUUUGAUACUGCGGUGCUUGAGGACUGGAGAGGAGACUGGAAUUCACGGUGUAGCAGUGAAAUGCGUAGAUAUCGUGAGGAAGACCAGUGGCGAAGGCGGGUCUCUGGACAGUUCCUGACACUGAGGCACGAAGGCCAGGGAGCAAACGGG